rnacentral:rRNA from 1 species
UCCGUAGGGGGCAAGCGUUGUCCGGAUUUAUUGGGCGUAAAGAGCGUGUAGGCGGCCUGGUAGGUCAGCUGUGAAAACUCGAGGCUCAACCUCGAGACGCCGGUUGAAACCAUCAGGCUAGAGUCCGGAAGAGGAGAGUGGAAUUCCCGGUGUAGCGGUGAAAUGCGCAGAUAUCGGGAAGAACACCCGUGGCUAAGGCGGCUCUCUAGUACGGUACUGACGCUGAGACGCGAAAGCGUGGGGAGCGAACAGG